rnacentral:misc_RNA from 1 species
UCUCCGUAGGUGAACCUGCGGAGGGAUCAUUACAGAGUUCAUGCCCUCACGGGUAGAUCUCCCACCCUGUGUUAUUAUACUUUGUUGCUUUGGCAGGCCGCCCGCGUGGGCUACCGGCUCCAGUUGGUAAGUGCCUGCCAGAGGACCCCAAACUCUGAAUAUUUUAUUGUCUGAGUACUAUAUAAUAGUUUAAAACUUUCAACAACGGAUCUCUUGGUUCUG